rnacentral:rRNA from 1 species
UACAGAGGGUGCAAGCGUUGUUCGGAAUCAUUGGGCGUAAAGCGCGUGUAGGCGGCGACCUAAGUCUGGUGUGAAAUCCCUCGGCUUAACCGAGGAAGUGCACUGGAUACUGAGUCGCUAGAGGACGGGAGAGGGUAGUGGAAUUCCUGGUGUACCGGUGAAAUGGGUAGAUAUCAGGAAGAACAUCGGAGGCGAAGGCGGCUACCUGGUCCGUUUCUGACGCUGAGACGCGAAAGCGUGGGGAGCAAACAGG